GGAUGCUUUACACAUGCAAGUCGAACGGCAGCACGAGAGAGCUUGCUCUCUUGGUGGCGAGUGGCGGACGGGUGAGUAAUAUAUCGGAACGUGCCCAGUAGCGGGGGAUAACUACUCGAAAGAGUGGCUAAUACCGCAUACGCCCUACGGGGGAAAGGGGGGGAUCGCAAGACCUCUCACUAUUGGAGCGGCCGAUAUCGGAUUAGCUAGUUGGUGGGGUAAAGGCUCACCAAGGCAACGAUCCGUAGCUGGUUUGAGAGGACGACCAGCCACACUGGGACUGAGACACGGCCCAGACUCCUACGGGAGGCAGCAGUGGGGAAUUUUGGACAAUGGGGGAAACCCUGAUCCAGCCAUCCCGCGUGUAUGAUGAAGGCCUUCGGGUUGUAAAGUACUUUUGGCAGAGAAGAAAAGGCAUCCCCUAAUACGGGAUGCUGCUGACGGUAUCUGCAGAAUAAGCACCGGCUAACUACGUGCCAGCAGCCGCGGUAAUACGUAGGGUGCAAGCGUUAAUCGGAAUUACUGGGCGUAAAGCGUGUGUAGGCGGUUCGGAAAGAAAGAUGUGAAAUCCCAGGGCUCAACCUUGGAACUGCAUUUUUAACUGCCGAGCUAGAGUAUGUCAGAGGGGGGUAGAAUUCCACGUGUAGCAGUGAAAUGCGUAGAUAUGUGGAGGAAUACCGAUGGCGAAGGCAGCCCCCUGGGAUAAUACUGACGCUCAGACACGAAAGCGUGGGGAGCAA
rnacentral:rRNA from 1 species